rnacentral:rRNA from 1 species
GAUGAACGCUGGCGGCGUGCCUAAUACAUGCAAGUAGAACGCUGAAGCUUGGUGCUUGCACCGAGCGGAGGAGUUGCGAACGGGUGAGUAACGCGUAGGUAACCUGCCUCUUAGCGGGGGAUAACUAUUGGAAACGAUAGCUAAUACCGCAUAAAAGUCGACAUUGCAUGAUGUUGACUUGAAAGGUGCAACUGCAUCACUAAGAGAUGGACCUGCGUUGUAUUAGCUAGUUGGUGAGGUAACGGCUCACCAAGGCGACGAUACAUAGCCGACCUGAGAGGGUGAUCGGCCACACUGGGACUGAGACACGGCCCAGACUCCUACGGGAGGCAGCAGUAGGGAAUCUUCGGGAAUGGACGGAAGUCUGACCGAGCAACGCCGCGUGAGUGAAGAAGGUUUUCGGAUCGUAAAGCUCUGUUGUAAGAGAAGAACGAGUGUGAGAGUGGAAAGUUCACACUGUGACGGUAACUUACCAGAAAGGGACGGCUAACUACGUGCCAGCAGCCGCGGUAAUACGUAGGUCCCGAGCGUUAUCCGGAUUUAUUGGGCGUAAAGCGAGCGCAGGCGGUUAGAUAAGUCUGAAGUUAAAGGCUGUGGCUUAACCAUAGUACGCUUUGGAAACUGUUUAACUUGAGUGCAGAAGGGGAGAGUGGAAUUCCAUGUGUAGCGGUGAAAUGCGUAGAUAUAUGGAGGAACACCGGUGGCGAAAGCGGCUCUCUGGUCUGUAACUGACGCUGAGGCUCGAAAGCGUGGGGAGCAAACAAG